GGGACGAUGGCGCAGCUGGGAGCGCGUUUGACUGAAGUUCAACUUCACCAUUAAGCCAUAACAGGCGAUCAAGAGGUCAUCGGUUCGAACCCGGUUCGUCCCA